ACCUCAGAUCAAACUGCAUUUACCAGACAAGACUAAAUUAAACAUCUAGGUAGUGACACAAAAAGGUGAUAGAAUUCUUAGGAAACAAAUAAAUGAAAAUUAGAUCAUCUUCCCAAUUAUGUCUCGAUCCCAACAAUAGCUUUAAGGUAAGACACUAAACUCAGAA